AGCACACUUGGACCAUUUUUUAUACAAAUGCACAUACCUGUUAAAAAGGUGCAGUUGAAAUAGAUGAAAGGAAAAUUAUCCAAAAUAACACACAGUAUAUCAAUUUUCACUGGAACGAAAACAAAAUUCUAUCAAAGAUUUAUAAUGGUCAGGGAAAUGUUGACAUCUUUUCUCUAUUUGAAAGUUAUUCAGAAUACUUUACACAAUUUUUCAACAUUAUCAGUCUGAUCUGUUGUAAUACAAAAUCCCCGGUUCCCUGUAGACUUCACAUUUUUAGCCUUGUAUUGCAAUUUUACCUGAUAAGCUAGAGGAGGCAUUUCAAAGGAGAGUUCUUGAAAUUUUUUCUUACUUUUAAAUAAACUUCAAACGGAGUUUGAACCCUACGUAUUUAUUAUAAUUAUCGAGUUAUUAAGCAAAAUGUGAAUCGAGUAUAUCUUGGGACAGAGUAUAGGAGUGAUGGAAGGGUUAAUGUCCAAAUACAUGUAAAUCUUCAUUAAUUUAAUAAAAGUUUUUUUCUAUUCCUUGAUAAUGUCACAACCUAAAAGCUGGGCAUUCUAUCUGUUACCAGAUAAUGGUUUCUAACGGAGACUCAGAGCGUGGAAUCUGUUUCAAUCAAAAUUUUUAAGAGGGAUAAAAAAGAUAGCCUCAAGAUGAUUUGCUGUAGUGAGCACAUUAGUCUUGGUUCAUGGGGGAAUGUUUAUUUGAGGCUGACCUGUCUUCUGCAAAAUUAAUGUACUUGUAUUGAUAUACCAGCUGCUUGUGUGGUUUGAAGAUUAAUGGAAGAUGCACCAGCAGACUCAUUCCCACUCGUGUCAUUACUGUCCCCAAUGUGGCUUACUUUGUCCUUACACAAAGUGACACCUACCAAAGAAAAUGAAG